rnacentral:rRNA from 1 species
GAUGAACGCUGGCGGCGUGCCUAACACAUGCAAGUCGAGCGAAGAUAUGAGAAGUACUUGUACAGAUCGUAUUUUAGCGGCGGACGGGUGAGUAACACGUGAGUAACCUGCCUUUUACUGGGGAAUAACAUCGAGAAAUCGGUGCUAAUACCGCAUAAUGUCACGAGAUCGCAUGGUAUUGUGACCAAAGGAGUAAUUCGGUAAAAGAUGGACUCGCGUCCGAUUAGAUAGUUGGUGAGGUAAUGGCUCACCAAGUCUACGAUCGGUAGCCGAACUGAGAGGUUGAUCGGCCACAUUGGGACUGAGACACGGCCCAGACUCCUACGGGAGGCAGCAGUGGGGAAUAUUGGGCAAUGGGCGAAAGCCUGACCCAGCAACGCCGCGUGAAGGAAGAAGGUCUUCGGAUUGUAAACUUCUUUGAUCAGGGACGAACAAAAUGACGGUACCUGAAGAACAAG